rnacentral:rRNA from 1 species
GACGAACCGUGCGAACGUUGUUCGGAAUCACUGGGCUUAAAGGGCGCGUAGGCGGGCCGGCCAGUCUGUGGUGAAAUCCCCCGGCUCAACCGGGGAAUUGCCGUGGAUACUGCCGGCCUCGAGGAGGGUAGGGGCACCUGGAACUAGCGGUGGAGCGGUGAAAUGCGUUGAUAUCGCUAGGAACUCCGGUGGCGAAGGCGAGGUGCUGGACCCUUUCUGACGCUGAGGCGCGAAAGCCAGGGGAGCAAACGGG